CACGUAGGGUGCGAGCGUUGUCCGGAAUUAUUGGGCGUAAAGAGCUCGUAGGCGGUCCGUCACGUCGGAUGUGAAAUUCCAGGGCUCAACCCUGGACCUGCAUUCGAUACGGGCAGACUAGAGUUCGGUAGGGGAGACUGGAAUUCCUGGUGUAGCGGUGAAAUGCGCAGAUAUCAGGAGGAACACCGGUGGCGAAGGCGGGUCUCUGGGCCGAUAUUGACGCUGAUGCGCGAAAGCCAGGGGAGCAAACGGG
rnacentral:rRNA from 1 species